rnacentral:rRNA from 1 species
UAAUUUUUUUAGUCUAAUCUGCUCAAUGAAUAAUUUUAAAUAGCUGCAGUAUAAAUAACUGUACAAAGGUAGCAUAAUAAUUUGUUUUUUAAUUAAAAACUAGAAUGAAUGAUUAAAUGAAAUAUAGACUAUAUCAAACUUAAAAAAUAAAUUUAUUAUUUAAAUAAAAAAAUUUAAAUAACUUUUAAAGACGAGAAGACCCUAAAGAAUUUAAAUAAUAAUUUAAAAUAAUAAUUUAUAAAUUAUUAUAUUAAUUGGGGAAAUUUUAAAAUUUAAAAAAUUUUUAAUUAAAUAAACAUAUAUUUUUGAAUAUAUAAAAUUUUUUAAAAAAUUAAAUUAAAUUACCUUAGGGAUAACAGCAUAAUUUUUUUAAAAAGUUCAAAUUUAUAAAAAAGUUUAUGACCUCGAUGUUGAAUAAGAGG